GGACCGCCCGUGCGAGACGCGCGGUGCCGGCGGCGCAGCGCGAGGGCCGGUAGGUGAGGAAUGGGGACUUCUUUGUCGCUUGGGGAUCGACUGCCAGUGCAGCCUGCAUGUUUGACCCUGAGGGUGAAAGCUGUUGGCCACGCUGCCUCUCUGGCCAGAAGAAUCAGUGGGUAUAUCCACGCUGUGGUUUCUCAGCAAUUUGGACACUUCUGCGAUACUGCUCUGGAAGUCCUGGGUUCUGACAAAGAUGAGUUUGUGUCUUUUCCACUGUACCCUAGCUUCCUGUCCUCUCAUCAGCAAUUGGUGAGACCACCAGUAGCUGACUGUCAGUUUGAUAUCUUGCUAAUACUCUCUCCACACAGUUUUACAACAAAUGUGCUUUCCAGGGAUCCCUCUUUUUUUUUUCCCAUAAGGCACCCUGUUGACAAUUCUGAGUCAGAAGACAUUGACAGUACUAUCAUUUUCAGGGAUAAGGAAGGUACAAGAUGGCAAGAACUGGAGGCUCACAGUGAAAAGCAAACAUAAAACUGAUGACAGCUGGCUUUAUGUGCAUGAGAAGCACUCUGAAAAGUGUCAUACACUCUACAUUUUUAGAUCUUUCGGCUGGUACCUCUGUACUUGCUACACACUAGUGGGAGGAUUUAACAGAGGUGUAGCCCUCCAGCUGUGUUUAGGCCCUAGUAUCUGUAUUAACAAUGUAAUAUGCACAUGCUUCCAGUUUUCUUGUAUUGGAAAGGUGCAUUGAAAAGGGAAGUGAAAUUUCCGUGCACCAAAACUGCACUGUGAAAAGAAUAAAAGCACAACAAGUGGGGAUAAUAAGAGAUUUGCCUUGGCCGUGCACUGCUGGUAUGAGAGAAAAUGCUAUAGCAGUCAUACCCUUAGUUUGGAAACCUGACACAUUAAUCAGUUUUUAAUGUGUGUUACAGUUUGGUUACAUUAAGUUCCUUAUGGACCAGUAUCAAGCACAGCAGUAUCAAUAAUGAUUUUUAUAAUGACAUUAAUAUAAAUCCCCACUGCAGUUUUUUGCAUCUCUUGAGUAAUAACAGUCCAGUAAACAAGGCAGUCAUCAUUCUUCACUAUAUGGUAUAACAAAUGUGAAAACACUGUGUAGGUGUAUGUUAGACUACAUUAUAUUGUAAACAAACAAAUGCAGAUUAUUUUUUGGUUGCAAGGUGAAAUUUGAGAUUAUGCUAGCCACUGAGAAUCCACUUUUCUAUGUAAAAAUGUGGCAGUGCCAGAGCCUCCUGAUUCUAAGCAGUUUUGUACAGAUAUCAGAGAAGGCAUCCAGCUGUCUGGGUUCACGUCAGGCUUUAAAAUUUUUCCCUUAUGAGCUAAAAGGCAGAAGAGUGAGGGUUGGAUGGAAUUAUCCCCUUGUUCUGUUCUGAUUAAUUCAAUCCACUGCAGAAAGUGACGAAGGAUAAAGUAAUUAAUUGUUCACCUGGAGCUGGUUAGGAAUCGUUACUUUCUUGCACUCUGGUGUCCUGUGGGAUCAGUGUAUGUACUUAUCUUUACCACACUGUGGCUGGACUUCGUAACUACUGUGAUGACCGAAUGAGCAUUGCCCUUUCUAUGAAAACAGCAACAACAAAACCAGUUAGCUGAAGUAGAAAAUAAAUGUCAUUUUGGGAAUGCAACUCACAGCAGUCUUUGUGAAAACUCUAUUACCAUGUUCACUGUGAACACAUAAUUUUUUUACAUUUUUGGGGGACUGUCCACUCUGAAGAACAUAUGCCUAGUAGAUCUUCAUUUGUAUUCAACAUGUGGUUAUAAAUCAAAUCACCCACUUGUUUACAAAGAUUCAUAUUUUUUUGUUGAAGCCAAAUGGGAAUACUUCUUUGCUACACUGGACUAGAGUAGACCAGUAUAGGGUCUCUUGGUCUAGCCUUUGCAAACAGCAGCCUGUGUUUGUGUUUUAAUGCUUUUAAUAUAGAUUCAAAUGCUAUCAAACAGAUAGUUUUAUGAAACAAAGCAAAACAAAAAAAACUGUGCAGUGGGAGAUAUAGUAUAUGAUCAAGGGCAGUGUGGCCUGCCUUUUACAUAAGUAUGUUCAGUUUUGCAUGGCACUCUUUUCCCCCAUUGCAGUGAGCCUAGAGAAAAACGUAUAUUCAGCCUCUCGUGUAUUUUCAUUCCUUUCUUAAUUUGUUUGCUCAGAUCUGAAAAACUCAAAACCUCUUACAUACUAAAUCUCAGAAACUGUUGCAAUUCUGUGUACUUUUGCAUUUUGGUAGUAUCUUAACAUGAGAGGUGUAUCAAAAGACUCAGGAGUGUAUGGCCCCUUCUGUGUAGGCAGAAUCUUAUUUACUGGACAUUCUGUGAAGGUCUUGAGUUCAUUUUCACUGUCAUGUGACACCUCUGAUCAGCUAGAGGCACCACUGUUUUAACAACCACAAGCAUGAAGUCUUUCUGUGCCAACAAUAUCUAAUGAGCUUUCACAGCAAAAGACCCCUAACAGUGUGGGAGCAUCUGAGCCAUCUCAGGUGUGCAGAGAACCCUCACCAGGCUGCUAGCAACAGUACCAUUGGUAGGACCAGCCAAGAGCAUGGGGUGACAACGUAGCGGGCCCUGGACACACUUGGGUUAGUUAAGGCAAAGGUCAGAACUCAAGGAGAAAAGUGAAUGAACAAGAAAUGUGGCUUAGGCAGCCAUUAGAAUGAAGAGUCAAUAAGACAUUUUGGAGUUGUUCUUUGGGGUCAUCUUUUUUUAUUUUUGUUUUUGCUUGCUUACCCCAAACACUGAGUUUGCUCAAAGCAUGUGAUGCAUAAAAUGCAAGACUACCCCUACUGCAAGGGCUCCUCUAUCAAAGUAUCAUUGUGGGGUUUUUUUUACAAGUUUAUACAAUUUUACUGUGUUACAAUCUGUUAAACACCCUUCCAUAUUUGCACACUUGCACAUUUUAAUAAAAAAUGUUUUCCUCUCAUGUUUUCCUGGAAUUUAAUGCAACACUUGAUGAAGAGUAUAAAGUAGAGGUUUUUUUCAAAAAUUGAGAGAUGUAAAAAAUUUAAAUGUUACUAGUUUCUGGUGGUCACUUUUUUUUUCCUUUCUAAUGAGAGUCAUCAAAAAGAUGCCUCUGAAAUAUAAAAGUUAACUUUGGACAUUUGAGUCUUGAAGAUUUUAUGGAAAGAGUAAAGAAAAAGAAUUUAUUUUUAAAAAGAUAACUUAAAGUCCUUUCAAUUCAUUAUGCUUGGGAAUUACUUGAAAUAACUAAAUUACUCAAAUAAGGAAAUAAUGUGCUUAGAAUUAAGUUUAAACAUUUGGUUACUCAUACAAGAAUUUUUUUGAGAUGAAAAUAUACAAUAUUAAUUGUAGUCUUAUUAGAAUGUAAUUUUAUUCUUCACUUAGAAGAAAUAACUGAAAAAAAAACUCUUUUGAACUAAUGAUUGAUGAAAAUGGUUGAAAUAAUGUUGCAGAUUAUGAACUAGUGAUUGAUGCUCAUGUUAAUAUGAUUAUGAAUAAGCUAUGUACUGUUGGUAAGAGAUUUUUUACAGUAUUAGUCACGUUUCUGUUUUCUGAAGAAGUGCAGGAUGCCUGCACUUACCAAUUCAUUAUAUCAAGCACAGACAAAUGAAAAAAUAAAUCAUAACCCUAAGUGUGAUAAUUUAGUAGAUAAUUCCCAUAAAACUUUUAUAUUACUAUAUUCAUUGAGCUGUUGUUUUCUAAACAUAAACAUAAAUUUCAGAUCCUGUUCAUUCUUGCUGAGCAUUAACUGCUAUAUGCCAGCUGAGGUAUUUUCUUAAUCUGUUGUGAAUCUUAGAAAUCCUAUUGCACUUCAGAACUUGGUCUGUGUUUCAGAAGGUAUUAAAAGCAAUAUAUGUAUAAACUGCAGUCUUACUUUUCAACACUUCUAAGAAAACCAUGAGUUGAAUUUCUGAAUUUUGUUCAAGGUUUUAGAUGAACACAUUUUAAAAUUAUCAUGGUUAAAUGCAUGUGUCAUGAAUUAGAAUUAUUUUAAGUAACUGUAGCAUGUUUUGUCUUUUAUUUUUGGCAAGAUAUAGAGGGAACUGUAAAAUCUAGAUUGUGCAUAUUGCUCAUUGCCAGCUUCAGUGUCUCUUCAAAUACAACAUUAUCAUCCAAAGGAGAAUAAAUACUGUUUUUGAAAAUAAGAGAACAGAACCAUCAAGUGCAAAGAUUUUAUCCAGAAUCACACACUGGGCCAUUAGAAGAACAAGAAAUUUGCAUCCUCGUGUUCAGAACUAUGAUUGGAAUAUCUGACUUCUGUGUCUUGGUAAGUAUCACACAACUUUAUAUCUCUUUAAAGCAGACAUUUCAUGUCAAAACUGUGCCCUGAGCUUUCUGCUAUCAGAGUUCAGGCACUUUACUGUCAUUCAAAGAGUACCAUGUGCAAGUUGAUGUUCAGUAGCUGCAGAGAGACAAUAAGCAAUUUUAGCAUGUGUUCUAAAAGCUCUAUAAAAUUGCAUGCAUUGAUUCAGUAUAGAUGGAAGAGAAGGAGUUUGACUGAAAACAUAACUAAAGCUGUGGUCCUGGCUUGUAUUUUGGAGAGUAUCCAUACAAUUUAUAGGAAGAUUUAGUUGGUGUGGGAUGGACUCAACGUCCCACUUGAAGGCUGAAACACAUGCAGCUCUCUGGAGGUAGCCUGUGCACGUGUUGUGCACUCAAACUUUUUCUCCCGAUAAAUCCGUAGUGCAGACCAUCAGAGUCACAAGGCACUUGACUGAUUCCCCCUGGUAAUAGUCAUUCUUUGGGUCACUGAGAGCAAAACUGUGGGAAAGGGUAGAAGGAGCAUCAUGGAGGUACGUUUCUGCAAAUAAGACUGAAGAGGACUGUAAGAGGAAGGAGAUAAUAUUUCCUAAAUGAAUGCCUAAAAGAAAACUGUUAAGAGCUAAGUUGUCUUAGCAGCUGCACAUCUGAUGCCUUUUAAUAUUAAACAUCUUAGCAGACAUUAUUAUAGUAGGUAGAACUUCAAGGAUCAUAAAAGAAUAAACUAUCAUAUCAUAAAAUGUUUGUUACACGUAAUACAUUUUUACAAACUGUAUCUUAUUACACCUUGCCUCUUUUGUUACGUGAUACCGUUUUCUAUGUGUUACCUCUCCUUGCAGGAUGCUGCUGCUGCAUCUAGCGGUUGAGUUGUACAGCAAAGGAAGGCUUUAUGGCAGUGUGCAAAGAUUAGGCAUGGGAUGUCCCAGUAUCCUCAGCCACACAUUUUGUAUGUAAAGACUGCCACACAGAAUCCUUCUAUUAUGCCAUAUAAAAUGCCAGAUCAUGACCAAAAGAGAGGUAGACAAAGCAAAAUCAGUAAAGGAGAGAUUUAUUGGAAUGACCGAAACAGUGAAGAAAUGCAGAGAGAGGGCAGAGUCUGCUGCGUUAAGGUGGCAAGUUAGAGAAUCUUCAGAGAAGCUUCGUUGAAAUACUUACUCAAAACAUCGGGAAAAAAGAACAACACAGUAGUCAUGAUGCAGCUCAUAGGAAGUAAAUUGCGGUUCAGGCACGUGUUGUAAAUUCUUCUUGCGAUAAUUCUUCAACUUAUAUGAGUGGUUCUUACAUUUUUUUAUAGCAUGUGUACUCUUUCCUUUUAAUUAUAUUCAUGAAUUUCUUUUCUAAAAUAAUGAAGACAAUAGAUUGAUCACAGCCUUCUUAUAUAUCCUCUAUAACUUCAAGUUGAGAGACAAAGCUUAAGUACUCUUUAGCACAUCACUUAAAUAGGUAAUCUGCAUAUUUAUUUCACCAG
ensembl:lncRNA